rfam:Triticum aestivum genome assembly, contig: Triticum_aestivum_CS42_TGACv1_scaffold_374059_5AL
UUAUUACCCCCUCCGUCCGGAAUUACUUGUCGCAUAAAUGGAUAAAAAAUGUAUGUAUCUAUAACAAAAAUAUGUCUAGAUACAUCCAUUUCCUUGACAAGUAUUUCUGGACGGAGGGAGUAUAAU